UACAGAGGUCUCAAGCGUUGUUCGGAAUUACUGGGCGUAAAGGGUGCGCAGGCCGCGCGGGCAGUCAAAUGUGUAAUCCAGGGGCUCAACCCCUGAACUGCGCUUGAUACUUCCGCGCUCGAGCUUUGGAGAGGAGUCUGGAAUUCUCGGUGUAGCAGUGAAAUGCGUGGAUAUCGAGAAGAACACUUAGGGCGUAGGCAAGACUCUGGACAAAUGCUGACGCUCAUGCACGAGGGCUAGGGUAGCGAACGGG
rnacentral:rRNA from 1 species